UACGAGAGGCCCAAACGUUAUUCGGAUUUACUGGGCUUAAAGAGUCCGUAGGCGGCGCAGAAAGUGGGGUGUGAAAGCCCUCGGCUUAACCGAGGAAUUGCGCUCCAAACUACUGUGCUUGAGGAAUCUAGAGGUGAGCGGAACUGAUGGUGGAGCGGUGAAAUGCGUUGAUAUCAUCAGGAACACCGGAGGCGAAGGCGGCUCACUGGGGAUUUUCUGACGCUGAGGGACGAAAGCCAGGGGAGCGAACAGG
rnacentral:rRNA from 1 species